rnacentral:rRNA from 1 species
UACGUAGGGGGCAAGCGUUAUCCGGAUUCACUGGGUGUAAAGGGAGCGUAGACGGCCAUGCAAGCCAGGGGUGAAAGCCCGGGGCCCAACCCCGGGACUGCCCUUGGAAUUGCAUGGCUGGAGUGCGGGAGGGGCAGGCGGAAUUCCUGGUGUAGCGGUGAAAUGCGUAGAUAUUAGGAAGAACACCAGUGGCGAAGGCGGGUUACUGGACGACAACUGACGGUGAGGCGCGAAAGCGUGGGGAGCAAACAGG